AUUAUGCUUCAGAUUCGGUUUCUGCAGCAGAGCUUCAGUCCGUCUCUAAUCAGCAGCAGGUGUUACAGCUGGAAACUUGGGAUCUAAACAGGAGAUUCCUACACUUUCUGCCCUCAGGAAGGUUGAUGCUCCUCAUUGAAUGAAGGGAUGGACAUCUGGACAGCAGAGAAAAUAAUUCUUCUUGGUUUUCUGUUGAAAGGUGUUUGCUGUAGAAAGUUCAACAUCACUCUGCCGCAGAAGAUCGAAGCUCUCAAUGGAUCCUGUGUGAUCAUAAAGUGCAGAUUUGAGAUUCAGGAACAAUAUGACAAAGACCUCACUGAAAGAGCUACAGGACAGUGGUUCAAAGACGGGACUGAUGUGAACAACAAUCUAGCAUUUAACUCAAGCACAUCAAGCCAUAACUCCUUAAUGAAAGGGAAUAUAACUGGAAAAUUAAAAGACAAGGACUGUACCACUGUUUUUCAUGACCUCAGAUCAGAUCACAGUGCUCAAUAUUACUUCAGGAUUGAGGGUGAAGGUGAACUGAAAUGGACCUAUGCAGAAACAAGUGUUUCAAUUCAUG